rnacentral:rRNA from 1 species
UGAGUAAUGUCUGGGAAACUGCCUGAUGGAGGGGGAUAACUACUGGAAACGGUAGCUAAUACCGCAUAACGUCGCAAGACCAAAGAGGGGGACCUUCGGGCCUCUUGCCAUCGGAUGUGCCCAGAUGGGAUUAGCUAGUAGGUGGGGUAAGGCUCACCUAGGCGACGAUCCCUAGCUGGUCUGAGAGGAUGACCAGCCACACUGGAACUGAGACACGGUCCAGACUCCUACGGGAGGCAGCAUG